AAGUUUAUUAUCACUCAUUUAAUGUUAGACGCCGCCGAUCUAGUUCGCUAUUGUAGUGUUUUUGUGCCAUUAUGUCCAGCCGUCUGGCUGGUUGCUAACUGCCUGUUAGUUAGCCUCGUUAGCAUCGCUACUGUGUUGCGGUUCAGACGUGAACGCAUUGCUAACUAUUAUUGUUUGUGUGCUUGUUCCCACACAGAAACCACACACACACUCACCUUACAACCCAUACACGCCACACACCCACACUACACUUACAAGUCCCAUGCUCACCCCCCUACCUGUGAUGCGACGUAUUACAAAUAAAUAAAGCAGCCAUCAAGCUGGAUGUGGACGUCCCUCAUUGCUACUGCACUCACCUGAACAGAAUUGCUGUCCUGACCCGACACCCUGGAGUGAUUGCUGACCAUUGCUGCACCCAAUUAAACCCCCCUUACUACAAUAAGACUAUUCAACAGCACUACUCCGAUAUUGAAGCUUAAAUGUGUGCUUUACCUGCUGAAACAGGUGGCGGAUGUCAGCGCCCAGCACGCGCUAAUCAGAGUGGCGCUGCAGAGAGGACUGCCGCCAUGUUCACUUUGGGACUGAAGCCACACCGACACCUGCCAGGGCCAGGCCGUCCUAUGACAGGUCAACAGUAGUGUAAGAAAACACCAUCAGCACUGCCCCCUAGAGGACGGUUGUUGUACAACCUGUGUGUUUUUCUCAAUGAAAACCGAUGUGGCUCUUCCUCAGGCCACAACUCAGCUCUUCAGGCCGAACUUGAACCACCAACUCAACUUGCGGUGCUAUGACGUCACAUUUGACCCCCGCCGCUUGCUUGCGUCUGCACCCCAUGACGCUCUGGCCCAGAGAGGGACACUCGCCCAGGAACUCCUCCUUGCCUGUGCACCUCACCUGGUCCAGGUGGACCGGUCCUUUGCCUUGCCCGAAGCCCCCAGCUGCAACAGCGCCACCACUGGGAGAGAAGGAUGUCAAGGUUUGUCUUUGAGUUCUUCCAAUUCCUGAAGGUUAGCUCGCUUUUUGUGCACAGUGAAGCGGUCACCUGUGACCAAGCUGCCGACACACCACGGCUGCAUUGAGGUCGUUCCAUCCAGAAUCACAAAUGAUGCCCCAUUCGCCAUGGAGAUACACCUCCACACGCCCCUCCUUCCUGCUGCUGCCACCCAUGAGACGCACCAGUGGACCUGACAGAAAGAACAGUUGAUUUUUUGUGAUGUAACUAUACACUGUAUGCCAUGACUGGUCUCCUCACCUGUGGAAGGAGCGAUGGCAGGCAGUUCGUUGGUCUCUGUCUUGCCCUGCCCUCUGCAGCGCACCCCCACGUCCUCGCCGUGUGAGCAGUCCGUGCGUCCCCAGAUGCCGUGGCGGCAGUGCAGCAGGGACGUCUCCGAACCAUCGCAGUGAACGUCGUCCAGCAGGAUCAAACCCGCACCUUCACCAAAUGUCCCGUCCGACACCACCUCUGCGUGACCGCUGCCAGGGGAGCCUAACUGUCCACACACAACCUGGGCGUGCUGCUGGUUCCAGUGGUCAUCACACACCGUCCCCCAGUCACCGUUGUGGAGCACCUCCACUCUGCCUUCCCAGGGACUGUCUCCACCCACCAGUCGUACCACACCAUCUGAAAACAACAUUAACAUGAGGAUUUUAGCUUUUUUUAUUCUAUUUAGGGACCUUGAACAUGGCAUACAUUAAUUUGGGGUCUUGUUUACAUUAUAUUCCAUAUAUGAGAUGCUGGAGCUACAGUACGUUCCCUCCAUCAACACUGCUAAAGAUUUAUGGAUAUGCGGACGAUAUAAAUAGAAGUUUCAAGUCUGUGUGUCAGGUUGUGGAGUAUUGCGUCACCCCAAGAUGCAGAGACGGGCACAAGGUGCACGGAAAUGUAUUUUAGAAAGAUUCAAACAUACAAAGCUGAAGUAAAUAGACCCUUAAUCUAAUCAGCACCAGGAGCCUCAUCUACUAGGCUUGUGUACACACUUUUUUUUUUAGGUCUCAAUAUUUUUGUCAGGAAGUAAAAGGAAAAGUGUGCUGUGUGUGUGUGCUGUGCCUGUGUAUGGGCUGCAGGAGACGCCGGCAUCCUCCAUGUGGUCACAGUUGUGCUGCUCCCAGUCGCCGUGGGGACACUGAUCCAGGAACAGCUCGUUUCCGGUGCAGGAGACAGCGUCCAGCAUGAUGGGACCAGAACCCUGACCAAAGUGGGCCCAGGACCAGGCCUUAGCCUCACCACUGCAACACACGCAGACAUAUUUAAUGCAUGUUGUAUAGAUAUGUUCUUCCAAUACUUGUGUGUGUGUUAUAGCAACCUGAAGCCUAGCUGCCUGCACACCACUGCUGCAUCUCUGUCGUCCCAUUGGUCAUCGCACACAGAGCCCCACCUCCCACUGUGGAAGACCUCCACGCGACCCUCGAAGUCUUCCUCGCCGCCGACCAGUCGCAGUGGAGGUCCGCUGCCUGACGGGGAGAAAUGUCACGUGUUGAAUUCUGACCUUUUUCGAUGACGCAACUUUUUCCAGAUGUAGUUGACACACUUAGACUAAACUCAUAAAAUCUGCUAUGAAAAUACCACUGUUUCACUGUUGAACUAAUCCGGAGGUGGCGUCACCAUUUAUGGAGACCCUAAGAGGUUCCUCAGGGGUCAUGGAGAAUUUUUUUUUUAAAUAGCAUUCCCUAAUAUUAU